rnacentral:rRNA from 1 species
UUCCAGACUCCUACGGGAGGCAGCAGUGGGGGAUAUUGCACAAUGGGGGAAACCCUGAUGCAGCGACGCCGCGUGGGCGAAGAAGUAUUUCGGUAUGUAAAGCCCUAUCAGCAGGGAAGAAGAAAUGACGGUACCUGAGUAAGAAGCACCGGCUAAAUACGUGCCAGCAGCCGCGGUAAUACGUAUGGCGCAAGCGUUAUCCGGAUUUACUGGGUGUAAAGGGAGCGUAGGCGGCGAUGCAAGUCAGAAGUGAAAGCCCGGGGCUCAACUCCGGGACUGCUUUUGAAACUGUGUUGCUAGAUUGCAGGAGAGGUAAGUGGAAUUCCUAGUGUAGCGGUGAAAUGCGUAGAUAUUAGGAGGAACACCAGUGGCGAAGGCGGCUUACUGGACUGUAAAUGACGCUGAGGCUCGAAAGCGUGGGGAGCAAACAGGAUUAGAUACCCGUGUA